rnacentral:piRNA from 1 species
UAUGGAUGAGAAAUGCGGAUAUGGGAC